GGGGAUGUAGCUUAGUGGUAGAGUGCAUGCUUUGCACGUCUGAGGGUUUGGGUUCAAUCCCCAGCAUCUCCA